rnacentral:rRNA from 1 species
UACAGAGGGUGCAAGCGUUGUUCGGAAUUAUUGGGCGUAAAGCGCGUGUAGGCGGCAUUGCAAGUCGGGUGUGAAAGCCCUCAGCUCAACUGAGGAAGUGCGCCCGAAACUGCUUAGCUUGAGUGACCGGAGAGGAUGGCGGAAUUCCCCAAGUAGAGGUGAAAUUCGUAGAUAUGGGGAGGAACACCGGUGGCGAAGGCGGCCAUCUGGACGGAUACUGACGCUGAGACGCGAAAGCGUGGGUAGCAAACAGG